CCCCUGAUGGUCUAGUUGGAUAUGACGUCUGACUGUAAUUGAAGCAUUUCAUCAGAAGGUCGCUGGCUCGAUUCCGGCUCGGGGGA